rnacentral:rRNA from 1 species
GACGAACGCUGGCGGCGUGCUUAACACAUGCAAGUCGAACGGUAAGGCCCCAGCUUGCUGGGGUACACGAGUGGCGAACGGGUGAGUAACACGUGGGUGACCUGCCCCGCACUUCGGGAUAAGCCUGGGAAACUGGGUCUAAUACCGGAUAGGACCGCACCGUGAGGGUGUGGUGGAAAGUUUUUCGGUGUGGGAUGGGCCCGCGGCCUAUCAGCUUGUUGGUGGGGUAAUGGCCUACCAAGGCGGCGACGGGUAGCCGGCCUGAGAGGGUGGACGGCCACAUUGGGACUGAGACACGGCCCAGACUCCUACGGGAGGCAGCAGUGGGGAAUAUUGCACAAUGGGCGGAAGCCUGAUGCAACGACGCCGCGUGGGGGAUGACGGCCUUCGGGUUGUAAACUCCUUUCACCAUCGACGAAGGUUUUCUGACGGUAGAUGGAGAAGAAGCACCGGCUAACUACGUG